CAAAUCCAGUUCUUUUCUGAACAGUCAUAGUGGGUGUGCUCAAAGACUGACGUGGAGUUUUAUUACAAUAUGCGGAGAGCUGGUGGACCACUGUGCUAAUUUGUGUUGACCAUUUAUUACAGGCGAACUGAUUCUCCGGUUCUGAUAUGGAGACGACAGGAAGUGAACAGCUGCAGGGGAUGUGAGGUCACCUCGUCUCCUUGCUCGUGGAUCUUGUCCGUCUCCUCUUGGCGCUGCUCUUCAUCCUGGUCCUGCCUCUUCUUGUCCCUGUUGGAGUCGGCUGCAUCCAGGUUGUCCUCUUUAGCCACCAGCUCAGAUUCGCCCUGCAGGAGGACAGAGGACAACGUGGACAUGAAGCGCUCAGCGGGUACCUGCAGCUGUGAAGGGGGACAGGAGUCUCUGUGUGUCCUCACACAGCCCAGCAGCUUUGUCACAGCAACGCUCACACUGCCAACAGACAGAGCCUCCACCUCAGCUUCAAGCUCCGCCUCCAAGAGCCGGGUCAGGUGACCAGGCUUCAGCAGGUCCUCCACAGGCUGCUCCUCCUCCUCAGCUCCACCUGAGCCACAAACAAGAAAAAAGACAGAUUUA